rnacentral:lncRNA from 1 species
CUUUAGGAAAGGCUAACGAAAGCCAACUUUAUGGCUUCAGUUUUUUAACCUAUAUAUUAAUGGGAUUUGGUACAGUUGAAUUCCAAGAUUUCUAAGAGUUCUAACCUACCAAUCAUCUUUCUCCUAUAACAAGCUGUUUUCUAUUGAGCAGAAUGUUAGCCACCUUUGCCUUUCUCAUUUCAUGUGCUUUGGAGCAGUUGCUAUAGAUAAUUGUGGCCAUGUGCCAUCAUCCCAGAAGGUAAAGACAUGAUGUUUGCUGGAUUUCUCUGAAUUCUUAUUUCCUGACCUCCUUUAUAUCACUGCUUUCCUAUUUCAGUUCCUAUAUAUGGUAUCCCCAAUAUCUAGCUCUGUUUUUCUAUAUAUCCCAACUCACAUUUUCUGAUUGGACCUCCACCCAUGAACUGCCAUCAACAACUUAUGUUGAGUACCUGGUUAAAAUACUCUGAUAAAGGCCUUGUUUCUCAAAUGUAUGGAAAACAGUCGAAUUUAUCAAUUUUUAAAGCCAUUUUCCAAUUAAUAAACAAUUAAAAAAUAUGAACUUCACCUAAAAGUCUAUAAAAUCUUGCCUUUCCUAUGAUCACUUACCACUAAGUUCCCAAAAGGGAAUGAUUUAAAAAAGGAAAGAACUUAUUGUAUGUGUUUAUGAUGGAUUAUCAAAGUUUUAUAAGAAAUGAUGACAGAAAGCUCAGGGAAAGUCUUCCUCAUAUGAGCUCAAUCACAAUGAAAUGUACUGUGUACACAGUAAUAACAAUGUUGUGAAAUUACCACCUGGAAACAACUUUGCUAUGCUCACAAUACAAUGAUCCACAACUACUUUGAAGGCUUUAUGAAAAAUGCUGUUCAUACCCUGACAAAGAAGUGAUUUGUGUCUGAAUAUAGGUUGAAGCAUACUGAUCAUUUUUACUUUUAUUUCUUGAGGGUUUCUUUUGGGGGGGGGGGAGUGAAAUCUGUUUUCUUCAUAACUAUUAUGGAAAUCUUAUGCAUACCUUCACAUGUGUCUUCCCUAUGUGGGGAAGGGAGAAUAAAGUUUUAAAAAACAAAUGUAAAAAAUUGUUUUAUAUGUAAUUGGCGAAGUAAUUUUAAAACAAAAAAAGGCAAUCUGGGAAAUAAAGAGAAAAAAAGGAUGAAACUCCUUAGGCCUGGAUAAGGUUUUUUACACAAAAGGGACAGAAACCCUAGGGACAGGGGACUCUCCCUUUGGGGGGUUGCACAUUCCCUUCCUCCACCCUUUCCCCUAAGCCAAAUUAUUUUCCCAAUGAUCUGAUUUGGGCAUAGGCAGGGCAAGGAAAGUCAUCCCAUUCAGAGGUUAAUAGCCCAAGAUACUGAGGCAAAUAUUGUAUGUUGGAUAAAGAACAUCAACUCAAAUAAUCAAGGAGAUUUCUCAAGGUGAAAGCAGUAAGGAUUUUUAUGGCUGUCUCAUGAGAAUGGGUGUCUCCCUCUGAACAAGCAGUCAGGCCAAGGAGAGGCCAGGUAAAGGAGGAGAGUAUCAGAUUAAAUAUGUCCUGCAUAUACAUCUCUGGGAGACAGACUCACAAUCUUAAUAAACCAGGAAAGCUAUUCCAGGUACAAAUAAGGGAGUAAAAAAUCCAGCCACUUCAGCCACUAUGAACUCAUAAAAAAAGCAUUCACAACUUUAUUUGGCCUAACCUUGUUGAUGUGGCAAAAUCUUAAAAAAUAACACUCAAGGUGGGACUUCCUGAAGUUCCUACUUCUGGUAAUUCAGAUGAUUUUUGGUAAAUGAAACUGAGGUUUAGGGUUGGAACAAAUUAUCCUAGAACUAGAACUAAUUACUUUUCACAGUAGAUCCCUUUAUUUUUUGACUCUAUGAAGACUUCUCACACCAUUGCUUAUAUAUACUUUGUUUUCUUCUUCAUUGUCAUUUUUUCCCCAUCAAGGUCAGAUCUUUCUUCUACAACAACAGGAGACCACCCUUGACCUCUGACCUCUUAAAGAGUCAUUAACCUGAAAGAUCCUCCAUCCUGACCCCUUAUUCUAAUCAUCCUGGAUCUAGCAAUAGAUCUAUCAACACAUAACUUCGUCAAAUAUUCACUUACCAACUUUAUGAUAUAAUGACAUAUUUGCAGAUAGAAAACUGCAAGAUUGUACAUACUUGAAUUGUGUUCAUGGCUUCUACUGACCACUUGUUCUGAUUCUAGAAACUUGCCAUCAGAAGAAAAAGCAGGGACAUGCUUAUAUUAUACUAACAUCAAAACUGGUCUUUCAGGCCUUAGCUUAAGAGCACAUACAUGACAGGAUAAAUCUUUCAUAGGCUCAGUUUGAUUUCGGGUAUUUGUCACACUUUUCAAGUAAGCAUGUAGUAAGAAUUCCACUGUAUAGCCAGACUCAGAAAUAAUCAGGUGAGUUCUUAUUCAAAAAAGCACACCACUGGGAAAUUCAGAUCAAAGGAUCCCACCUUAAGAGGAGGGAAAGGGAAAGGGUGUUCUUCCAACUCUUGUCCAGAUUCUAAUCUCAUCUAUAACAAUUUUUCUGAGUAGCUUAUGACAUAUUGCUUUCAGGAGAUAAGUAACUAACUGAUUUGAUUAUUCAUCAGACACUCAUACCUGAAUUCAUAACUGCAAACAUCACUACUUGCAAUCCUAAGAGAUUGCACCUCAAAUAGCAAGUUUCUUUCAAGGUAUCAGGUGAAUUGAGCCUUCAAGGAUCACUAAAUAAAUAUUGACGAUGAUCUUGCAUUGAAUAAUAGUAAAAGAUUCAUCCUAGAAAGUUCAUAGCUUACCUUUCAUAUCUGAGUAAAUGGUUUUUAAGUUCAACAUUACACAAAUCAUUUUUAUUUAAAAUGCUAAAUAAACCCAAAUUCUUAGAAUCCUUGUAAAUAAGGGGUGCAGCUUUAAGAUGCUUCAAUAAAACUAAUUAAAACAGUUUUUACUAAACUUCAUUUACUUAAAACUUAAAAAUAACAUUUUUGACUUUUUUAUAAUAAAAUUCAUUCUGAUAGAGGUAAACAUAACAAAUCAUCUUUACACAACAAAAUUAUAGAUGAUCAAUAAACCCAUUUAUUGUUUGGAAACUAUUAGUACAUAAACUUUUUUCCCUAGGGCUGACAAGGUAGAUCCAGGAAACAUUCAAAUAGGACAAUCAACAAGGGUCCCAUAGGAAGGAUGAUCUUGAUGCUCCUUCCUGUUUACCACAACUACUCUUGGAAUUUUUCUGUGGGAUGUGCUCUUUUGACAUCACCAAAACAUUUUUAAUUUCCCUUAUGCAAAGUCAAAUUUUUGAGGUUAAAAAUUGUCCUUAAGCCAUAUCUUGAGGUUCCUUCACAAGUCCUUCUAACCUUGGUGUAAUGAGUCUAUAUCUUCUCUGUCUCUACACUGCAGUCUCAGUCAUCGAAACAUCCGAUAAGGUCCUUCCCACUUCAAACCUUCCAAGAUUUCAAAGGCACUCAAUCUCCUGGAAGUGCAGACUCCCAAGGUGUUGUCUGGGUCAGCAGUUCUUGCUUCCUGGGUGAUGAAAAGGAUAAGGACACACUGCCAGGAUAUAAUUCCUUAAAACUUUUUUUCAAGAGAGGGCAUUUUUCCCUUUCCCUUCCUUAUAUGAUAAGCCAAAAAAUACCAUCUCACAGGGGGAAAAACCCAGACCAUUUCUGGGUACUGUUCUUAUUUCUGUUAACAAAAAAAUAGGCAAACAUUUGUUUGGUCCAAAGCCAUAUGGUAUCCAAUAUCAAUUUAGUAAUUUGUUUCUUAAGAACCUGAUUCAUUCUUUGUACUUUCACUGAAAAGAGCAGAUGAACUUUAAAAUUUUCUCCAUUUUAACCCUUCUCAAGAUAGCAGAACACAGGUGAAAGUGUCUAUCCAUCUUAUCAUAUGGUCCUCUGUAAGCAAAUACUUCAGUUGUCCCACUAGCAUUCAUUUCAGUAAAAUCAAACUUGAACAUUGGGGGCUAGGCUCCCGCAAUCCCUCUGAAACUCCCUAACAUCAAUAAAUUGUUUACUGUCAUGAGUUUUCUCUGGUUUCUUAUGGAGCAAAAUAGGAAUACUAUUGAAAGUGGACACACAUACUUUCCCUAGUCCAUCCCUUUGUUACUGAUUGUAAUCUUAUUUUCCCCCCAGUGAUAUAAAGUAUUGUUUAAGACACAAUCACAUCCUCUACAAUUAUUAAUUCUAUAUUAUUAUUAUAAAUUAUUUAUAAUUAUUAUAAAUAGGUAAUUUUUUAAACCUUCUCUAUUUCUGCUAUUCAUAUUCUACCAAAUGAGGGUACAUUUUAACUCUACUUGAUGGUUCAGCACCUUUAAUUUCAAUACCAAUUGUAUAAUCAAUUCUCUGCCUGACAAUUUAUUCCUCACCUCUGGGAUUUACAUCUCUCCUUUAAUGUUUCCCAUGUACAACAAGAGUGACUUCUAUUAUGGGUACACAGAAAUCUUUUUCUUUGCUCCCCUAUCAUCCAUGAAUAAUUCCUGAAAUUCCUGAGUGAGGAUCUCUGCACUCCAGCAACUCCUAAAUAUUUUUGUUCUACACAGUUAUUUAUAUAAUUGUAGCUUUUAACAAAACAAUCUUAGAAUUUUCAUAAGUCAACAGCCAAAUGGUCUUAGAUGUAAUUUCCUUUUCCCUCUCAAGCAAGGAUGGAAAUGCCUAAUCUUCUAAAGUAACUUUAUUGAAGGUUAGUUAGCAAAACUGAUAACUUUUUAAAAACACAUUUUCCACCUCCUGUUAGUUUUUCAGUUUCCUCUUUACUCACAAGCUCAAAGCUGUCCCCAUGGGAUAAGAUCCCCUCUCCUUUCAUGAAACAGGAGAGAUAAGAACUUGCUGAUUCUAAUUUCUAAAAGGCCCCUAUUCCCAGUUAUCUGACAUUUUACAUUCCCUUCUCACAUUUUCCAGGCCUUGAGCACCAUCUCACACCAAGUCUGAUGCAGAGAAAUUUAGGAUCCUGAGUCCAGAUCGGGAGCCCUGACACCUGAGCAGCAGGAUGCUUGAGCAAGUCUGAAAGAAUUAUUACUGUCAUGAAUUCCAGCAAUUCAGCCUGAUAUUUCUCCAAGCCAGCAAUACAGAGACCGAAUUUCUUACUUCUCACAAGCUUGCUAACUUUUAACACAGAGCACAGGCUGCAAACCUGAUCAGACACACACAGAAAUCUAUUUCCUUUUUUUUUUUUAACAUACGAUUUUAAGCCUGAAAUACCCAGUUAGUCAUGGGAGCACCCUCCCAAUUUUUGUCCACUUUUUGGAUUCUAAUGAAGCCUGUUUCCCAGAAGAUUAUCCUCAAGGAUUCCUUGGGGCCUGUUUUUUUUUACUUCAUUAUUGUUGCCCCAUACCCACUCUCUGAUGCUGAGUCUUGACAUUUAAUUUAACCUUAAACAUUCACCUGAAUCUUGUCCCUUCUGGCUCACAGGUUCUUGCCAGAAGGGAUGCUCCAUUCCUAAGCAGUCAUCCUGAUGCUCACCUGGCUCCCAGGCUCUCUCACAUGUCUCUGGAUUGCACAUGCACAAUUUACAUGACUGGAAUGACCGAUUUUCUUUACUCUUUCACUUCUCUGGACAGUUUUGAACUCUUACUUCUGCUUCACCAAGUCUCUCCUUCUCUGGUCUUUCAACACACCAGUAGGUGACCCACUUUCCAGAUCCGAGACCACCAAAGUCCAACGGGUCGCUUAUCCCCAGUCUCAGAGAGAGAGAGAGAGAUCUCUCCCUAGCCUAGGUGGGCUUCAAAAUCCUGGAGGAAGCCCAUAAGCUGUGUGGGUCAAGACCACAGACUCCAAUAAUCAAGGAGAUUUAUCAAGGUAAAAGCAGAAAGGAGUUUUAUUAACUCCCCAGAAAGGAUGUCUCCCUCCCAACAAGCAGCCAGGCAAGGAGAGGGGAACUACAGGAGGAGAGCACCAAGUCAUAGACUGCCUGCCCCCAAGGCAGACAACCCCCUCCUCCUCCCCACUGGCAUCCACCAUCUCUCCAGUGACUUGGAAGGCAGGCUCACAAUCUAAAUGGGGAGAGCUAUCCCAGAUAUAAAGAAUAAGCAAAAUUCAGCCACUUCUGCCACUACAUCUCAUAAAAGCAUUCACAACUUUUGCUGAUGUGGCAAAGUCUUGGGAAAACCCUUAAGGCUGGGGGGACUUCCUGGAGCUCAGAUUUCUUCUCUUCUAAGUCAGACCAUUUUUGGUAAAUAAAACUGAGGGUUGUUUAACAAAACAAACAAACAAAAAAACCCUCAAACAAAUUUACCCUAGGGCCUCUGAGAAGUAGUCCCUCAUCAUGCUCAAUUGGCACCAAGAGGGAGUGCAGGGCUUGCCCGGCCUAUAAAUAGCAGGUGGGGGCCUGCUGCUCAGCCAGGAGUUGGCGCUAGCAGCAGUGGAGAGUUAGUUCUCUUUUUGCUCUGCAGAGGACUCCUGCUCUGCUUCUUCCCGGUCCAUCUGUCUCCCUCUUCCGUUUUUCAUUUCCCAACUUUUCUAUUCCCCUUUUUCUCCCAGACCACUUCUUGCCCCUCCCCCCCAUUUAUGUAUUAUGUACAAAACUUAUACAUGUUUUUCACUUGGAAAAUUGUUUCCCGUGUAAGAUUUGCCAUAAAAAGAAAAGAUUGGGAAGGGGGAAAGUGAGGUGUCCAGCCUGACACCUUGGGAACCGCUGUUAGAAUCUCUUUGAGGCAUGACCCCAGGACAGAGAUCUUCCUGUGGUCAAAACCUUUGUCUUUCCCACUUUUCUCUCUGUGUGGAAAACCAGGAGCCCCUGAAGGGGGAUGGAAUAGCCUAGUUUCUUAACCAGAACACUUGUGUCGACUGCAUUAGAGUUUGUAAGAAAAAUUUUUUUGCCCUCAAAAUUGGAAUCCCUUUUGAAUUCGAAGUUUUCUCCUUCUGGGGCAAAAUUCAAAUUAAAAAACAGUCCAAGAAAUGGAAUAGCUUCGUAAUGAAGUAUUUCUACUUUUUUUAUUUUGAUAUUUUCUGUACAACUCCCUGUUCUGCAAGUUACCUCUGCUAACUACAGCUUUCUGUAUUUUAAAUUGCUUACCAAACUAAAAAUGUCUUAAAUUACAGUGAGCAUUUCCAUACUUUAACCUCCUUCCAUUAGUGUCUGUUUUAUUGCUUUUGUCCACUUCAUCCUAAUUAAGGCUUACAUUACCUUUUUUGAAUUCUCAGGAUAUCAUUGGCUAUCUUAAGUGUGUAUGUGUGUGUUUUUUAAGCUUUUGUGAAUUUUAAAAUAAUACCUGGUUUCACUCUUCAGAAUUACAUAGAGGAAAUAUUCCCUCUACAGAAAAGUAUAAUAGAGAUCUGGGGGAAGUCUGCAGCAACUCAUAACAUCAUAUAACAUCAUAAUAUAGAUUUUUUUCUCCACAUCAAUUUUACAAUGAGGAAGAUGAUAAAAUAUGGUAAAGCCUAAAACUUGAUUGGUUUUCCUUCAAGUUGUGUUACUUUAUGAAAAUGAAUUUUUGAAAUAAUUUUAUAAAACUUAAAAAAUAUAUUUUAGGGUGACAUUUAUAUAAGUUCAUGAUAUUUUUCACUUCAGUUUCCUAAUAUAUCCUAUUCUAAUAUAAUUUCUUUGCCUCUUCAACAUCCCAAAGCAAAAAUGAAUGUACAACAUAUAAACAUAUAUAUAUAUAUAAACAUAUAAACAUAAGGAAAUAUGUUUAAAGGAAUGGUACGUAUUUAACAUAUGCUAGAUUGCAUGUGGUCUGCAUGUGGUCUGAGAAGCAGGGGAGGCGGUGAAUGGAAGGGAGAAAAAUUCGGUAACACAAAAGUUUUACAAAAAUAUAGAAAGCUAUAUAUGUAUUGGAAAAAUAAAAUACUAUUUAAAAAAUAAAACAAAUGUAUUUUUAAAAAAUCAAAAAGAAAACAAGCCAACAAACAAUCUGUUUGUAUAUUCCAUGCCCCUUUCACACUCAUUGCCCUCUAUCCUUUUAAAGGAGAAAGAAAAAUGGGGAGUUAUUUUUCUUUCUUCCCUGGAGCCCAAGUUGGUGAUAUUUUUAAGGACUAUUUUGUAAUUUUGUAGGUUUAGUAAGAUUGAUUUUUGCCCUUUGAAGUUUUGAUUUUAACACUUUUAAUUUGAUUUCAUUGUCUUGCUUGAACUCUCACGUUUACAAAAGCUAACCCUACAGUGGAUUUUCCUUUAUUUCUAAAAAGGAAAAUAUAAAGAUCCACUUGAUUAAAAAAAAAAAAAAAGAUAAAGACUAAAAUGAAUGUUUUCCCCACCAUUUUCCUGAAAGGCACCACACCAUCAUAAUCAUGAAUCUUUUGGGACUAGUUUGAAUCAAAUGAUUCCCAUACUUAAACAUUAUUAUUUCUUGCCUGAAUAAUGCUCUUCUGGCUUUUGCUCACUUCUGUUUGGAUCAGUUCAUGGAAUUCUUUACAGGUUUUUCUAAAAGCAUCUAUUUUAAGCACAGAAAUAUUCCAUUACAAUUAUAUAUCACAACUUGUUCAUUCCCAAAUUGCUGAGAAUCCUCUCAAAUUCUUUGCCACCUCAUAGGUUCUUUUCAUAUCUCUUUGGGAUAUAGAUCUAGAUGUGAGACUACUGGAUAACAAUAGCAAAAUCAUUUUUAGAGCCCUUUGACCAUAAUGAUUCCAAAUUUGUUACUGGAAUGUUUAGAUCAGUUUCUAACUCUACCAACAUCAAGAACAUGCAGGGGUCCUUGAACCAUGGUCCAUGGACCACUUAGAGGUUAAUGGAUCAAGGGAUUCAUUAACUUAGAUAGGGGAGGAGAUAUAUCAACACAACUUAACUUGUCAGUGAGAUAACUUUCUAUGAACCUCUGGUCUCAGUUUAGAUAAAAACAUUUGGAAAUGUAGGCCAUUUAUAGAAAAUGAAGAUUUUGAUUAAGUAGCUAAUACUGAUUAUCUAGUUUAAUUAUUCAUUUAUACCAUGCCAUACUGAUAUCACAUAAUAUAGUGGGUACCGAGACUUUUUUUUAAGUAUCUCUACCUUGUAUUAUACAACCUAUUUAAAAAAAAUGUUGAGAAAAUAAAGUUUCAGUGACAACUUAAAACUUAUGACAUAUUAUCAUAGUAAUUGGAAAUAUUUACAAAUAAUUAAGUUUGUUUAUUGUAAGUUUUUGAUUCAUGUAGUAUUCAGUGUAUUCACUGGUAUUUGGUGAAAAUUAAUGUGCACAUAUUUGCUAUGUAGGUAAGAUGUCCCAAGUUAUCUUUCCUUGUUUAAUGUCUUAUUGGAUAUGAAACUCAAGAGGAUGCGAACUUUUUUCAGGGGAAUGUUUUUUUUUUCCUUUUCACAAAUUGUUUUUCAGAGAGUUGUUUUCUUUUUUCAUUUCACUAAAUAUUUUGUAAUGAAUUUUCUGAAUUCAUUUCAUUUCUCUUUCAUUUUCCAAAACCCUCUUGCAAAGGUCUCAUUUUCUGUUUAUUUUUCUUCUAGCUCUCUUUUAAGAUCCUUUUAAAUUUCUUCUAGAAGCCUUGUGUGAUGGGGAUCAAUUUAUAUAUCACAACCCUUUGGGGCUUCAUGUGGAGAUGAUCUGCUAUUAAUCUUAGCAUUUUAAAUCUGUUCAUCUCUUUCACCAUAAAAACUAUGGUGAGUUUUUUUUUUUUUUUUUUUUUUUUUUUUUUUUUUUUCUUUUUUACUCUUUUUUUAAAAGUUCAGAUCUGCUUUUAGGACAAGGGAGAUUGUCCAAGCUUUUUCUACAAGUGGCAGCAGCUGCGCUGUGCUGACUUCCUGUGCUGGGUGGCUGUGGCCAAGUCCUGUGAAAUUCUAUUAUUUUAGGGUUCAUGUUUUACCUUUUGUGUUUGUGUUGGAUGUUUUAUAACUUCUCUGAUGAUCUACUGGUUUCCAACCAGGG